AUGAUAGCUUUUAAAAAAUAUUUAAGUAGAUGACUAUCAUACACAAUUGUCUUUUCAUUUCUUCAAGAAUUCUAUUAAUCCUAUUUUACUUAUGGUGUCCUUGGUGCUGAAACAAUUGUAUUCAAUAUUAUUUUCUAUGCACAACUUGAUAAAAAAUUGGUUUUCAAGACUAUCCCAUGAUACUUUUGCAAACCUUUUUCAUUUGAACCCUUUUUGUGAGUUUGUGCCAAUGCAUAAAAUAUUUCAAUUUACGUGCCAAGAACAAAGCCAGUGUAAGCUUUUGAAAACUUAGUAUUGGAAACAACAUCAUUAGAUUUAGAAAUUAAUUUUGUUUGUUUCCUUAGUUAACAUGCAUAGCAAGCUUUGACCUUUUAGAAGAUAAUCUAAGUAAGGCAAUGACAAGGUCUUUCGAGAUUAAGUACAUACUAGCAUGAGUUGAUUUUAUAUGCCAAAGAUGGUUUCUUUAAUCUUGGUAUUCAUAGUGC
rnacentral:lncRNA from 1 species